GUCCCUGUAGCACAAUGGAAUGCGCGUUGGACUUCUAAUCCAAAAGUCCUGGUUUCAAAUUCCACCUGGAAUG